GGGCCGGUGGUCUAGCCUGGUUAGGAUACCGCCUUGACAUGGCGGGGAUCGUUGGUUCGAAUCCGACCCGGCCCA
rnacentral:tRNA from 1 species